UACGUAGGGGGCUAGCGUUGUCCGGAAUCAUUGGGCGUAAAGCGCGUGUAGGCGGUCCGGUAAGUCCGCUGUGAAAGUCGGGGGCUCAACCCUCGGAUGCCGGGUGGAUACUGUCGGGGCUUUGAGUACGGGAAGAGGGCGAGUGGAAUUCCUGGGUGUAGCGGGUGAAAUGCGCAGAUAUCGUGGAGGGAAGACCAGUGGCGAAGGCGGGUCUCUGGG
rnacentral:rRNA from 1 species